UGAGGCUGAGAGCCGUCAGGCUGCGGUAUUUGUCAGGGGAGUGUCCUAUCCACCCUGACGUGUUACUGUCAAAAUAUCACGUAGGUAAUGAGCGCCUUCACCUCAACAUAUGUAGUAAAUGUACUUACUUUCCACUACAACAGUCUGUGAUGUACUUAAGAAAAAGCUGGAUUGUGACUGGACUGUCACCGGGAAAAGGAGCAAAGGAGCAUGGUACAGGGUGUGUAUAACACUGUCUCCGGUGCCUGCAAAUCAGAAAUCACUAUCAACACAACUGUGUUAGGCUUCACGUCAAUGGUGAGGCACAACUGAAGCGCCAAAUCAGCUUCAUUUUGGAUGCAAUUUUAAACUCAAACCUCAAACUAAAGGACUUAAGGAGCCAGAGUUGGAAAGUCCGAAAACAUCAUAAUGUCUUAUGAGCGGAUUCUGUCCAUUGAAAAUCUGAGUGAUGUUCCAAAUCCAUGGAAGGGAUUCACCAUGAACCGCUGCUUAGUGCUGGCACUGGCCGUACUGCUUGUGACCUCAGGGGUGAAUGAACUGCAUGAUGCUGUGGACACUUUUGUUGAGGAGACAGGUAUAAGGUCUUUCUUUGGAAGCCUGCGGGAUGGUUCAAUAACUCAGAUCUCCAUAUGGGAUAGUUUCAUGUGGUGGUGGGGAUCUGAAGAGGUUGGAGCAAUAAGAAGAAGAAAAAAGCCGAUCGGCAACAAAGCAAUCCUGAAACCCAAAACUGGAGCAUAGAACCUAUACAGCUGCUGAAAGAAGAGUGAAAGGUCGAGAAACAGAGGUCAUCAGCUGUCACAACAGCAGGUUUCUGAAUAAAGAACACAAACACUC